AUGAUCUUUAAUGCAGCAAGUUCAAUAUUAGUGACAGACCCAUUAGUUAUAAUACAUACAAUAAAAUAAACUCUCGGUUUUUAAUGGGCACUUGCGGAACCCUAGAUCACUGCAAACCCCGAUUGAAAACCUCUGCGUUUAAAAGUAGUUGACGAUUACUCAUCUCCAUAAUCUUAAAAUCAAUUUAUUUGCGGAUUCUAUUUUUUCAAUGCGGUAGCUUUUUUAUCAAUAUUCACUUCACUGGUUCUCAAAUUUAACACUUGUCGUUUUAUUUUUUAUACAGACAUUCAUUUCAUGAUGAAAAUAUUGUGGGCAAUUUAUUUGGAGCGUAUAUCAUUCUUAGUUUGCAUCUACACUUUGAUUAGCCAAAGAGUGUGUUUGGGUGUCUUGCGGCAUUGAUCUAGCUCCACUCUGUUAGAUUAGAUCAUUACACAUGUAAGCUGACUGGGUUUAAUUUCAAACUCUGGUGCUGAAACCUUGCCAUGUAUAUGCAGACAUAAAGGCAGUUAAGAGUGAUAAAAUUGAUACUAUAAAUACUAAUAUAUAUAUUUGAUGAAUAAUAUUGAUGAGACUCUCAAUAAUGAAGUGGGGUCGGUCUCCAGUCGAGCGUAUAUUUUUCUCUCUUCGUUGGCUUUCCUUUUUUCGUUGUCGAAACCCCCUGAUGUGAUUUUAUUGGUGUUUUCUGCUGCGCCGUCGACAGCCUUUGAUGACAAUCCACACGCUCAGGGCGCAGAAACCAUUGUGUCCCAGGUUUUAUGCCUGGGACUAUCGUUUUUGGACAAUUAUCCGAUCGCUA